GAUGAACGCUGGCGGCGUGCCUAAUACAUGCAAGUCGAGCGGACGGACGAGAAGCUUGCUUCUCUGAUGUUAGCGGCGGACGGGUGGGUAACACGUGGAUAACCUACCUAUAAGACUGGGAUAACUUCGGGAAACCGGAGCUAAUACCGGAUGAUAUUUUGAACCGCAUGGUUCAAAAGUGAAAGACGGUCUUGCUGUCACUUAUAGAUGGAUCCGCGCUGCAUUAGCUAGUUGGUAAGGUAACGGCUUACCAAGGCAACGAUGCAUAGCCGACCUGAGAGGGUGAUCGGCCACACUGGAACUGAGACACGGUCCAGACUCCUACGGGAGGCAGCAGUAGGGAAUCUUCCGCAAUGGGCGAAAGCCUGACGGAGCAACGCCGCGUGAGUGAUGAAGGUCUUCGGAUCGUAAAACUCUGUUAUUAGGGAAGAACAUAUGUGUAAGUAACUGUGCACAUCUUGACGGUACCUAAUCAGAAAGCCACGGCUAACUACGUG
rnacentral:rRNA from 1 species